rnacentral:rRNA from 1 species
UACGGAGGGUGCAAGCGUUAUCCGGAAUCACUGGGCGUAAAGGGCGCGUAGGCGGUCCAUUAAGUCCGAUGUUAAAGACCGGGGCUCAACCCCGGCACGGCGUUGGAUACUGUUGGGCUGGACGGCUGGAGAGGCGAGUGGAAUUACCAGUGUAGCGGUGGAAUGCGUAGAUACUGGUAGGAACACCCAUGGCGAAGGCAGCUCGCUGGACAGCACGUGACGCUGAGGCGCGAAAGUGUGGGGAGCAAAC